rnacentral:lncRNA from 1 species
UACAGUCCAAAGAUAUUCAUUUGUAUCACCAGUUGGUCAUGUUCAUCUCAACACCUGUUCAUCUUUGCACUACGGGCCAAAGAUAUUCAUCAGUUAAUCAUUCAUCUUUGCACUACAUGCCAAAGAUAUUCAGUAAUAUCAUCAUUUAAGACUGAGGAUGAUGAAAAAUAUUUUAAAGAAAACGAAUCCAGUGAGACAGAAGG